UCAGGUGACUAUAGCAUCAGGGUUUCACCUCUUCCCAUUCCGAACAGAGAAGUUAAGCCUGAUCACGCCGAUGGUACUGCGUAACAGUGGGAGAGUAGGUAGUCGCCGUUU
rnacentral:rRNA from 1 species